AACGAACGCUGGCGGCAUGCCUAACACAUGCGAGUCGAACGAGACCUUCGGGGCUAGUGGCGCACGGGUGCGUAACGCGUGGGAACCUGCCCUUAGGUUCGGAAUAACUCCCCGAAAGGGGUGCUAAUACCGGAUAAUGUCUUCGGACCAAAGAUUUAUCGCCUUUGGAUGGGCCCGCGUUGGAUUAGCUAGUUGGUAGGGUAAAAGCCUACCAAGGCGACGAUCCAUAGCUGGUCUGAGAGGAUGAUCAGCCACACUGGGACUGGGACACGGGCCAGACUCUUGCGGGGGGCAGCAGUGGGGAAAAUUGAACACGGGGGGAAAGCAUAAUCCCGCAGGGCCGGGGAGGUUAUUAGGGCCUUAGGGUUUUAAAGCUCUUUACCCCGGGAUGAUAAUACCGUAACCGGGGAAUAAGCCCCCGCCUACUUCCUU
rnacentral:rRNA from 1 species